rnacentral:rRNA from 1 species
UACGUAGGGUGCGAGCGUUAAUCGGAAUUACUGGGCGUAAAGCGUGCGUAGGCGGUUCGUUAAGUCUGUCGUGAAAGCCCUGGGCUCAACCUGGGAAUGGCGAUGGAAACUAGCGAGCUAGAGUGCGGUAGAGGAUGGCGGAAUUCCCGGUGUAGCGGUGAAAUGCGUAGAUAUGACUCGGAAGGCCAACGGCGAAGGCAGGUUACUGGUACGCAACUGACGCUGAGGCACGAAAGCGUGGGGAGCAAACAGG